GCAGAUGUAGUUCAAUGGUAGAACUUCAGCCUUCCAAGCUGACUACGUGGGUUCGAUUCCCAUCAUCUGCUCCA
rnacentral:tRNA from 1 species